AAACCAGCACCUCAAGUGGUCAGGAUGAUUAUUGGGCCUAAAGCAUCCGUAGCCGGCUCUGUAAGUUUUCGGUUAAAUCUGUACGCUUAACGUACAGGCUGCCGGGAAUACUGCAGAGCUAGGGAGUGGGAGAGGUAGACGGUACUCGGGAGGAAGUGGUAAAAUGCUUUGAUCUCUCGAUGACCACCUGUGGCGAAGGCGGUCUACCAGAACACGUCCGACGGUGAGGGACGAAAGCCAGGGGAGCGAACCGGAUUAGAGACCCGCGUAGUCC
rnacentral:rRNA from 1 species